rnacentral:rRNA from 1 species
AAAAGCGAAUAAGGGCGCACGGAGGAUGCCUAGACAACAAGAGCCGAAGAAGGACGUGAUAAGCUGCGAAAAGCUAGGACGAGUUGCACAUUAGCGUUGACUCCUAGAUAUCCGAAUGGGAAAACCUAUAUACUUGAAGAGUAUAUACGAAAGAGGUAAGUGGGCGAACUGAAACAUCUAAGUAGCCUGAGGAAAAUAAAGUAAAAACGAUUCUCUAAGUAGCGGCGAGCGAACGGGGAAGAGCCUAAACCAUGGUAGUGUUAAAGUUGGCACGUUGCUAUUAUGGGGUAGAGGGAUAGUUGAUUGACGGAUAGCCAUGAAGUCGACAAAUUAAAUGACGUAAGAGGAACACAACUGGAAAGUUGGACCGAAGAAGGUGAUAGUCCUGUAGAUUGUAAAAUCAUUUAAAUGUUUUAACUAAUCCCGAGUAGUAUCGGACACGAGGAAUCCGGUGUGAAUCAGCGAGGACCAUAUCUCGUAAGGCUAAAUACUCUUGUUGAUCGAUAGAGAAUAGUACCGUGAGGGAAAGGUGAAAAGAACCCUGAGUAAGGGAGUGAAAUAGAACCUGAAACCGUGUGCUUACAAACGGUAGGAGCCCUUAGGGGUGACUGCGUGGAUUUUGGUUAAUCAUCCUGCGAGUUAUGAUGUGUGGCAAGGUUAAGUAAACGGAGCCGAAGGGAAACCGAGUCUUAAUAGGGCGAUAAGUCGCAUGUCAUAGACGCGAAACCUAGUGAUCUAGGCCUGUCCAGGUUGAAGCUGGGGUAAGACCCAGUGGAGGACCGAACUCACCACCGUUGAAAAGUUGGGAGAUGAGAUAGGUUUAGGGGUGAAAAGCCAAUCGAACUAGGAGAUAGCUCGUUCUCUCCGAAAUGCAUUUAGGUGCAGCCUUAAUAAAGAUAUAUGGGGGUAGAGCUCUGUAUGGCCUAGGGGGCGUAUAGCUUACCGAAGUCAAGCAAACUGCGAAUACCAUAUAUUAAUUAUUAGGAGUGAGUCCAUGGAUGACAAGGUCCAUGGACGAGAGGGAAACAGCCCAGACCAUCAGCUAAGGUCCCAAAUUAUGUCUAAGUGGGGAAGGAGGUGGAUACUCACAAACAACCAGGAGGUUGGCUUAGAAGCAGCCAUACCUUUAAAGAGUGCGUAAUAGCUCACUGGUCGAGAGUAUCUGCGCCGAAGAUUUAACGGGGCUAAGACAUAAACCGAAGCUAUGGAAACUAGAUUUUAUCUAGUUUGGUAGGAGAGCGUUCUGUAAGCCGUAGAAGGUGUACUGUAAGGUAUAUUGGAGGUAUCAGAAGUGAGAAUGCAGGAAUGAGUAGCGAGAAAGAGAGUGAGAAUCUCUCUGGCCGAAAGUCCAAGGUUUCCAGAGGAAGGUUUGUCCGCUCUGGGGGAGUCGGGACCUAAGUCGAGGCUUAAAAGCGUAGGCGAAUGGAAAAUAGGUUAAUAUUCCUAUACCACUAUAUAAACGUUAUUAGAGAUGGAGUGACGCAGGAAGGUAUGUGAGAAGGGCGACGGUUGUCCCUUUCUAAGGAAGUAGUGUGAACAUGGAGGCAAAUCCACAUGUUUAAACAUGAGAUCUUAUGGGUAAGUAGCUUAGGCUAUAAGUCACAAAUCCUAUACUGCCGAGAAAAACUUCUAUUGAGAUUAUGUAGUGCCCGUACUGUAAACCGACACAGGUGGACUGGGUGAGUAACCCGAGGCCGACAGGAUAACUCUAGCUAAGGAACUCUGCAAAAUGGCCCCGUAACUUCGGGAGAAGGGGUACCUAUGUUAUGUGAUAAGAUAAACACUUUGAGCAGAAAUAGGUCGCAGUGAAGAGUCCCAAGCAACUGUUUACCAAAAACACAGGUCUAUGCUAAGCUGAAAGGCGACGUAUAUGGGCUGACACCUGCCCAGUGCUGGAAGGUUAAGAGGAGGAUUGAGAGAUUCGAAUUGAAGCCCCAGUGAACGGCGGCCGUAACUAUAACGGUCCUAAGGUAGCGAAAUUCCUUGUCGGG